rnacentral:rRNA from 1 species
UUUAUUUGAUAGCACCUUACUACAUGGAUAACUGUGGUAAUUCUAGAGCUAAAACAUGCUAAAAAUCCCGACUUCGGAAGGGAUGUGUUUAUUAGAUUAAAAACCAAUGCCCUUCGGGGCUCCUUGGUGAUUCAUGAUAACCGCUCGAAUCGCACGGCCUUGCGCCGGCGAUGGUUCAUUCAAAUUUCUUCCCUAUCAACUUUCGAUGCGAAGGUAUUGUCUUCGCAUGGUUACAACGGGUAACGGAGGGUUAGGGCUCGACCCCGGAGAAGGAGCCUGAGAAACGGCUACUACAUCCAAGGAAGGCAGCAGGCGCGCAAAUUACCCAAUCCCGACACGGGGAGGUAGUGACAAUAAAUACUGAUACAGGGCUCUUUUGGGUCUUGUAAUCGGAAUGAGUACAAUUUAAAUCCCUUAACGAGGAACAAUUGGAGGCAAGUCUGGUGCCAGCACCGCGUAAUUCCAGCUCCAAUAGCGUAUAUUAAAGUUGUUGUGGUUAAAAAGCUCGUAGUUGAACCUUGGGCCUGGCUGGCCGGUCCCCCUCACCGGGUGCACUGGUCCGGCCGGGCCUUUCCCUCUGUGGAACCGCAUGCCCUUCACUGGGUGUGCCGGGGAAACAGGACUUUUACUUUGAAAAAAUUAGAGUGCUCCAGGCAGGCCUAUGCUCGAAUACAUUAGCAUGGAAUAAUGGAAUAGGACGUGUGGUUCUAUUUUGUUGGUUUCUAGGACCGCCGUAAUGAUUAAUAGGGACAGUCGGGGGCAUCAGUAUUCAAUUGUCAGAGGUGAAAUUCUUGGAUCUAUUGAAGACUAACUACUGCGAAAGCAUUUGCCAAGGAUGUUUUCAUUGAUAAGGAACGAAAGUUAGGGGAUCGAAGACGAUCAGAUACCGUCGUAGUCUUAACUAUAAACUAUGCCGACUAGGGAUCGGACGGUGUUUAUACUUGACCCGUUCGGCACCUUUCGAGAAAUCAAAGUGCUUGGGCUCCA